rnacentral:rRNA from 1 species
CAGCCGCCGCGGUAAUACGGAGGGUGCAAGCGUUAAUCGGAAUUACUGGGCGUAAAGCGCACGCAGGCGGUCUGACAAGUCAGAUGUGAAAUCCCCGGGCUUAACCUGGGAACUGCAUUUGAAACUGUCAGGCUGGAGUCUUGUAGAGGGGGGUGGAAUUCCAGGUGUAGCGGUGAAAUGCGUAGAGAUCUGGAGGAAUACCGGUGGCGAAGGCGGCCCCCUGGACAAAGACUGACGCUCAGGUGCGAAAGCGUGGGGAGCAAACAGGAUUAGAUACCCCCGUAGUCCUGUCUCUUAUACA